rnacentral:rRNA from 1 species
ACGCUCGACACCUACGGGAGGCAGCAGUGAGGAAUAUUGGUCAAUGGGGCGCAGGCCUGAACCAGCCAAGUAGCGUGAAGGAUGACUGCCCUAUGGGUUGUAAACUUCUUUUAUAUGGGAAUAAAGUUUUCCACGUGUGGAAUUUUGUAUGUACCAUAUGAAUAAGGAUCGGCUAACUCCGUGCCACAGCCGCGGUAAUCUGAGGCGGGCUGGCAAGGC